UACGGGGGGAGCAAGCGUUGUUCGGAAUUAUUGGGCGUAAAGAGCUCGUAGGCGGUUUGUCGCGUCUGCUGUGAAAACUCGGGGCUUAACCCCGGGCCUGCAGUGGGUACGGGCAGACUAGAGUGCGGUAGGGGAGACUGGAAUUCCUGGUGUAGCGGUGAAAUGCGCAGAUAUCAGGAGGAACACCGGUGGCGAAGGCGGGUCUCUGGGCCGUAACUGACGCUGAGGAGCGAAAGCGUGGGGAGCGAACAGG
rnacentral:rRNA from 1 species